GAUGAACGCUAGCGGCAGGCCUAAUACAUGCAAGUCGAACGGUGUCUUCGGACAUAGUGGCGCACGGGUGCGUAACACGUAUGCAACCUACCUUACAUUGGGGGAUAGCCUUUCGAAAGGGAGAUUAAUACCGCAUAAGACAGUAGCUGGGCAUCCAGCAGCUGUUAAAGAUUUAUCGAUGUAAGCUGGGCAUGCGUCCAAUUAGCUAGUUGGUGAGGUAACGGCUCACCAAGGCAAUGAUUGGUAGGGGAACUGAGAGGUCAAUCCCCCACACUGGCACUGGGAUGCGGGCCAGACUCCUACGGGAGGCAGCGGUAGGGAAUAUUGAGCAAUGGACGCAAGUCUGACCCAGCCAUGCCGCGUGCAGGAUGAAGGCGUUAUGCGUUGUAAACUGCUUUUAUACAGGAAGAAACGACUCUUGCGAGAGGCAUUGACGGUACUGUAUGAAUAAGCACCGGCUAACUCCGUGCCAGCAGCCGCCGUAAGAC
rnacentral:rRNA from 1 species